rnacentral:rRNA from 1 species
UAAUGGUUGAUGGUUGAUUAGUUUUUACAUGUAGUUCAAUUGUAAAUAUUAAUAUUAAUGACGGUAUUUUUUAUAUUCUGAGGAACUUGUUUUUGUAAGUUGAUGAUACACAAAAAAUCUUUCUUAUAUUCAAAUUGGUUAGAAGUAGCUUUAUCUUGAUAAUUUAUGUAUUGCUGUUUAAUUUAUUUUUUAAUAGAAAAAAAUUUUAAUAAGUGUAAGUGAAAGAGUUUAUAUUAUGAAAUUCAAGUCAAAAUGUAGUUUUUAUAUAAGUUUAAAAUAGGUUACAUUUAUAUAGUAUUAGGUAAAAUAAAAUUGAAACUGAUAAUUUUUAUGAAAUUUGAAGAUUUGAUGUUGGAUUAGAUUGUAAAUGUUUAAUUAGUAAGUAGUGUUGAUAUUUUUAAAAAUAUGU